CGAACGCUGGCGGCGUGGAUUAGGCAUGCAAGUCGAGCGCGAAAGUCGCCUUCGGGUGGCGAGUAGAGCGGCGAACUGGUGAGUACAAGGUGGGUAACGUGCCCGGAUGUGGGGGAUAACUUCGAGAAAUUGAAGCUAAUACCGCAUGUUCUCAGCAUCCUUCGGGAUUCUGAAGAAAGGUGCAUCGACUUCGGUCGGUGUGUCGCGUCCGGAUCGGCCCGCCUCCCAUUAGCUAGUUGGUGGGGUAAUGGCCUACCAAGGCAACGAUGGGUAGCUGGCCUGAGAGGGUGGUCAGCCACACUGGGACUGAGAUACGGCCCAGACUCCUACGGGGGGCAGCAGUCUAGAGGCAUCCACAAUGGACGAAAGUCAGAUGGUGCGACGCCGCGUGUGGGAUGACGGUCUUCGGAUUGUAAACCACUGUCGCGAGGGAAUAAGGCUCCAAAGCCGACGUUUUGGAGAUUGAAGGUACCUCGUAAGAAAGCACCGGCUAACUCC
rnacentral:rRNA from 1 species